rnacentral:rRNA from 1 species
AUUGAACGCUGGCGGCAGGCCUAACACAUGCAAGUCGAACGCGUGGCGGACGGGUGCGUAAUGUCUGUGAAACUGCCCGAUGGAGGGGGAUAACUACUGGAAACGGUAGCUAAUACCGCAUACCCUCGGAUGUGCCCAGAUGGGAUUAGCUAGUAGGUGGGGUAACGGCUCACCUAGGCUACGAUCCCUAGCUGGUCUGAGAGGAUGACAAGCAACACUGGAACCGAGACACGGUCCAGAAUCCUACGGGAGGCAGCAGUGGGGAAUAUUGCACAAGGGGCGCAAGCCUGAUGCAGCCAUGCAGCGUGUAUGAAGAAGGCCUUCGGGUUGUAAAGUACUUUCAGCGAGGAGGCGUUACUCGCAGAAGAAGCACCGGCUAACUCCGUGCCAGCAGCCGCGGUAAUUC